CAUAGAUAUAUUUUAGGAGGCAUUCUUCAUAUCUUUCAAAGAUUAUAGAAUAUGGCAUUUUAAAUGUUUUAAUAACUUAGGGUUUUUCAUGAUAAUGAGACAUGUCUGCUCCUGGCAGCACCAAUCUACUUCAAGAAGAUGGGCAUCGAAGAGGCACCUUAUGGAGUUUGAUAGCCAUUUGGGCAAGAAACUGCUCUUGCCUGGACUAUUGCAUAAACUGGACACAGAGAACCCGCAGAGAGAGGACUACUGAACUUGCCUAAAGAAAAAGGGGAAAUCAUUGUAGCGCCCAAUUUUGAGAAACUGCUCCAAGUCCAGUUGAGAAAUCAUCUGCUCCUUGCCCUGCUUUUCCGGCUGCAACCACGAGGCCAGAAGAGGGCACCAGAACUCAUUACAGAUGGUUGUGAGCCACCAUGUGGUUGCCGGGAAUUGAACUCAGGACCUUUGGAAGAGCAGGCAAUGCAAGCAAUUUUUUUGAUCACAUGACAGACAUCAGGAAAUUGCCAACUGAAGGACAUGAGACAAAAUAUUGAACAGUACUUCUGGGAACCGUCACAGUCAUCAAAACCAAGGAAAGUCUGAGGAGCUAUCAGAGCCAAAAGGACCAUAAGGAGGCAUUCCCAUGCAAUGUUAUGCCAUAAGCUGGACAGACCCUAAAACAGAAAAAAAGAUAUUUAAACUAAAGCUAAGUAAAUAGGAGUAUAUCAUAGACUGCAGCUGAUAAUAUCGUACUGUUAUUGAUGGGUUACAGGCACCAUAUUAACCUAAAAU